rnacentral:rRNA from 1 species
CCUAAAGGCGUAAUGAAAGUAAAAAUUAUACUUGUAUAAUUAAUGGGAAGAUAAUUUAUAUUACGAUAUAAAUUCGCAUUCCCAGGGCAUCUCAUUUUUAUAAUAAUUUCGAUUAUUAUAAAAAGAGGUGCACCUAGAGCAUACACGUUGGGACCCGAAAGAUGGUGAACUAUGCCUGGUCAGGACGAAGUCAGGGGAAACCCUGAUGGAGGUCCGUAGCGAUUCUGACGUGCAAAUCGAUCGUCGGAACUGGGUAUAGGGGCGAAAGACUAAUCGAACCAUCUAGUAGCUGGUUCCCUCCGAAGUUUCCCUCAGGAUAGCUGGCACUCAAUUUAUAAUAUAUUUUUUCGAGUCUCAUCUGGUAAAGCGAAUGAUUAGAGGCCUUGGGGCCGAAACGACCUCAACCUAUUCUCAAACUUUAAAUGGGUGAGAUCUCUGGCUUGCUUGAAUAUAUGAAGCCAUGAGAUUUCGGAUCAGAGUGCCAAGUGG